UACGUAGGGUGCGAGCGUUAAUCGGAAUUACUGGGCGUAAAGCGUGCGCAGGCGGUUUUGUAAGCCAGAUGUGAAAUCCCCCGGGGCUUAACCUGGGAAUGGCAUUUGGGGACUGCAAGGCUUGAGUGCGGCAGAGGAGACUGGAAUUCCUGGUGUAGCAGUGAAAUGCGUAGAUAUCAGGAGGAACACCGAUGGCGAAGGCAGGUCUCUGGGCUGACACUGACGCUCAUGCACGAAAGCGUGGGGA
rnacentral:rRNA from 1 species